rnacentral:rRNA from 1 species
CCCGCAACGAGCGCAACCCUUAUCCUUGUUGCCAGCGAGUAAUGUCGGGAACGUCAAGGAGACUGCCGGUGAUAAACCGGAGGAAGGUGGGGAUGACGUCAAGUCAUCAUGGCCCUUACGAGUAGGGCUACACACGUGCUACAAUGGCAUGUACAAAGAGAAGCGAACUCGCGAGAGCAAGCGGACCUCAUAAAGUAUGUCGUAGUCCGGAUUGGAGUCUGCAACUCGACUCCAUGAAGUCGGAAUCGCUAGUAAUCGUAGAUCAGAAUGCUACGGUGAAUACGUUCCCGGGCCUU